rnacentral:rRNA from 1 species
CAGGCCUAACACAUGCAAGUCGAGCGGAAACGAGUUAUCUGAACCUUCGGGGGACGAUAACGGCGUCGAGCGGCGGACGGGUGAGUAAUGCCUAGGAAAUUGCCCUGAUGUGGGGGAUAACCAUUGGAAACGAUGGCUAAUACCGCAUAAUGCCUACGGGCCAAAGAGGGGGACCUUCGGGCCUCUCGCGUCAGGAUAUGCCUAGGUGGGAUUAGCUAGUUGGUGAGGUAAUGGCUCACCAAGGCGACGAUCCCUAGCUGGUCUGAGAGGAUGAUCAGCCACACUGGAACUGAGACACGGUCCAGACUCCUACGGGAGGCAGCAGUGGGGAAUAUUGCACAAUGGGCGCAAGCCUGAUGCAGCCAUGCCGCGUGUGUGAAGAAGGCCUUCGGGUUGUAAAGCACUUUCAGUCGUGAGGAAGGUAGUGUAGUUAAUAGCUGCAUUAUUUGACGUUAGCGACAGAAGAAGCACCGGCUAACUCCGUGCCAGCAGCCGCGGUAAUACGGAGGAUCCAAGCGUUAUCCGGAAUUAUUGGGUUUAAAGGGUCCGUAGGUGGUUUGCUAAGUCAGAGGUGAAAUCCUGCCGCUUAACGGUAGCACUGCCUUUGAUACUGGCAAACUUGAGUCAUUGUGAAGUAGUUAGAAUGUGU